rnacentral:lncRNA from 1 species
CUGCACUGUGCACCGUUUUAAACAUAAAUGUGAUGAUUACCACCCAGGAAGCUCGCCUUGGGGCAGGCAGGGUGCCCUGUCCCUCUGCCCGUGGAGCUCCAGGCAGCAGGCAUGGGCAGUACCGCUGCUCCAUGUGCACACAAGGCCCAGACUCCACACAGGAAAACUGCCAUCUGAAAGGAGAAUUGGAACGCACAGCCCAUCUGACUCUUGUCUUACUGAGACGUUAAACAGGAACACUCCCCAUAUCUGUAUGCACAGAAGACAAUACCGCCAGCUGUGUGAGGACCAAUCUUUCUCUCUCUUUUGGUGCACAAUUUUCCUGCACAAUAACCACUGACUUGUCUUUCCUUUCUGAAGACAAUUGUCCACCCGAGUGUCAGAUGAAGGGUGAAUUAUCUCCGAGAUACAGCGCGGGAGCACGACCAUGUUUCCAGUGCUGAGGCUUCCUCUGCAGCUCUCUGAACCUGUGUCGGUGCGUCUGCAGGCAGACGCCCCAGUCUGUGCUCGGGAGGCAGCCCUUGAAAGGGAGCCAGGAGGCCCAGACACACACAGGCACCUGUGCCCAAAUCCGGGCGAUGAUCCAGAAAUUAAGCGCCCAGGUCUGUCUCUAAUUGCACGUUUCAGCAGCGCCGCCCACCUAAUACAUCACUCUCUGAUGUGAAGGGAGGGGGAAAUUGCAGCCAGCCAGUCUGGUCUUUCCUCUGGAAAGGUUGGGAGAUGUCAGAGGAGUGGCAGCAGCAAGUCGUCUCACGUGAACCCGGAGGUGCUCUGUGGUUCCCCAAGGGGCGGAGCCUGCGCUGCUGGGGUCUGGGAUGGAGGGGCUUUGCACUGGACCACCUGAGCUAUCCAGGGUGUGGGGCUCCAUAGAGGCCCAGAUAGGGGCUCAGGGACCUCCAGCCAGGGCAGAAGAGCUCAGGGGUGGUUUCCUGGCUCUCUGCAGUGAGUAGGGUGUUAGAAGGCACCAAAACAAGGCCCCUCCCCCUUGGAUCUGCAGGACAUGGGCUGGUCGUAUGUCAGCUGUUGCUGCCACAGAAGUCAGGCUUCCAGGGGUGGAGUGAGCCCUGGGGUGACCUGGUGAUUCUGCAGCCACUGUGACAAGGCAUGGAGUGUCUUACGGGUCCCCUGCGGUCCAGUGUUAGAGCACCAAGUUACGUAACCCAUGUGACCCUGGGCUUCCCAACACGGCGCAGGCUUUCCCGUAGACCCUCCUUCACGCUGGAGCCCCUUUGACAGGAAGGGUGAGAUCAAAGGAAUCCUUCUCUCCAUGAGGAAUGCCGGCGCUUGCAGCAGCUGCUCUGCGAGGGCCCGCAUGUUUGCAGACCCGGACCUCAGGAAGGGAAUGCAGGUGACCACAGCAGCGCAUUCGGGAAGGUUCGGGGCCAGCUGGCGGCCACAUGAGGAGCCUGCCCUCCCAGACUUUACACAGCCUGCGUCACUGGCAUUAUCAUGUUCAUCACUUCUACUGAUGGGGCUGAGUCUCCAACCAAUAAUUGGGCUGCAUCUCCCGAGGUCGGUCAAGUGGCUUCUCCGAAAUCACCCUGCAGGGUCCCUGAACUGACAUUAAUCAGCUUCAGCCUCAGCUAUCUCCUGGACUGGGUCACCUGUAUCCGAGGCUCCCAGCUUCAGCCAGACUCAGGCCUCUGAUAUUCCUCAGCUCGCCCUGGUCAUUAACCAGACUUUCUCUCUACUCAUGAGCCAGCCUCAGGCAUCUAAAUGAGCAACGGUCCAUCUGCCUGUCAGAAAGAAGACCCAGACACAGUCCCGGAUGCAACCAUGACUCUCAGCACCAAGGCAUCCCCCCUUCAGCGUUCAGAAUGUAAUGGAAUCCACAUAGGGGCUUCACUUCUCAUCAUUCCAGCACCCCCCACCGUGUGUGGAAAUGCACCUUCUCUUCUCCUGGGAGACGUUCCUCCCAUCCAACUGUCUGGUUCCAGGAAGAUACUGUGCUCAUACAUGACUCCGCCCCCAUAGCCACCACUGAUUGGUCUAUGGGUGGUCACCUCACCCCAGAUUGGCCUUUCUGGGACUUUUCAAACUGGAACUGACAUGAAGCCAAGAGGAGGAAGAGACCGCAUGUUUUCUGGCAUAUGGAGAAGGCUGAUCUACCAUGACAAAGAGUUAAGACAAUCUCAUUAGAAGGCAGAGGAGGUGGGGCUGGACCACCCAGGGCCGGCUGCUCUGACGCUCACCUGCACAUCUGACCUGCUCUUUGGCUGCACAACCUGAGUCCAAGAGCAGACCCACAGGGCUCCCUGCAGAGAGUUCAAAGCAGAGGCUAUUUACAGAGGUCCAAGUAGGGGUGGGGAACCUGCAUCCCACGAACUGGAUAAGCAGGGAAACUGUUAUCCACCACAAGCCCCAGGGCACAGGUGUGGGGCUUUGUUUCUGGAAUGCAGGGAGGGUUGUAACUCUGGGAGAGGGGUCACCUGGCAGGAUCUGAGAUCUUAUUUGGGGAAAAACUUCACUGCUAAACAUCAGUCAGGCAGGGGCAAUACCUGCUCCAACUUCUGUCUUCUCCCAUCUUAGGCUUCUCCUGGGGACUCUCAUCAGUCAAAUCCAACAGAAUCCAGAGGGCAGGGAGCCCCACUGGUGCCAUUUAUAGAGGUCAGCCUGUGGGCACAGUGAGGUCAGAGAAGGGCACGGAAUCGAUGCAGAGGGGCAGUCAAAGAGUAACUUGUGCAAAACAACCCUUCUUGGAUUCCUUGAGUCAGUAAAUGUUCCCAUUGGUCUUAGCAUUUCUGAGUUGCAUUUCUCUUAUUUGACUCCAAAACUCCUGUUCUGUAAGUAACUCCCCAAAGACAGUAAGUUUCUCAAACCAGUUACUAAAUCAAGUAUAGGGGCUGGUGAAGCUAAGUGAUGCUUGUUGCAUGGCUAGAUGAGAAGGCGAGAAAGCACUGUGGAGGCUCCAUCAAUGUUAGAUAGAUGCUGCCCUGGUUUCAUCAUCUGCUACCUACCCUUAGGCAGUUUCUUUGUUAAAGCAUCUUAUGAUCUUGCCCAAGAUUACCUGUGAUAGAGUAUGAAGGCCCUUGGUGGCACAACCCCUCUUUUCAUGGUCUUUUAUAAAACCAGCUGCCCAGCAGUGCCUGAGACUGAGCAGACAUUCAAUUCAUGUUGUUUGAAUGAAGGGACAGACGAGUUGAUGAUGGAUAGAUGAUGAAUGGAUGGAUGGAUGGACGGAUGGGUAAGUAAAUGGAUAGAAGAGGAAAUGGAUAAAUAAGUAAAUGAGUAGAUGGGUGGAUGGGUG